UGUUGACCUUUCUCUGAUUUUUUUUUGUUUGUUUGUGUGGGAAGAUGGGUCUGGUUACUUAGAUAUAAUUCAUGGUAUUAUUAUGGUUUAUUUUUCCUUGUAUUGAAUCUUAUAUUAAUAAUAACAUGUUAUUCAAUUCUUAAAACUGGCCAUUUUAUUUUUGGAAGUAAGAAAGGAGAUUAUUCUUGCUUAUUUACUUUAGUAGCAGCACUUGCAUGACCUAAGCUACCUAACAUGAGUUAUGUAGGAAAACACAAAGACUUGCUAUAUUGUUACCUUAACAGAAGAAAUGAUAUGAGUAAGCAUUAAGAGAAUCUUUGGAAAGCAUAUAGAAAUGCUCCAUCUCCUUAUUGUGUUGAUACAAUCAUAGCUUAAUUUGUUAGACAUGAGUUUCCUCUGAAGGAAUUCCUCACUUUUUUUUAUCAAUCACAGAAUUUACAUGAACGCCUAAGCUUUUGAGAGGCUUGGUUCUCUCCCAUGAGCACAAUUCUAUCAAUUCUCUCUAUAUCCUUUCCCUUAUGAUCUAGGCAGUUUAUAUAGUAAUCCCCAUUGUCCACAUAGGCAGUAUAUUUGCUUAAGUUUGUAUUUUGAAAUCACAAAUGAUGGACUAGAACUAUAAUAUCUUGGCUUCUCUGUAAAUGAUAUGUCAUGCUUUACAUGAUGGUCAUGAUAUGUACUUUAUGCUACAAGUUGAUGGAGAUUUCCUUGAAAAGAGUUUCUUUAUUUCCAUUUGUCUGUUCAGUUUUUAAUUUGGAAACUUGCAUAUCUUUAUUGUAUUCAUGAUUUAGUUGAAAUUAUGAUUUGAGAUUUAUAAGUCUCUCUCGUUUUUUUAGAGGUUUUUUUAAGGAUUGAAAGAGUUAUUGUUUUAAAGUUUAGUGAGUGUCUCUCAUGAUUUGUUCUAAAUUUUCUUUCUCACCCUGUAAAUCACAUUUCUAAACUAUAGGUUAUUUGCUCCAAGUUUUUGUAUCAAUUACUGUGUGUUGGCUUAAAGAUUAUUCUAUCCUUUUUGAAGCCUUUAAUGGGUAUUUAUAGGAGAUUUAGAGAACACCCUUCUGUUUUAUUGGAUAUCCAACCACUUCCAUGUCUUCUUGAGUGUUUGACUCUUCCGUGUAAAGCAUUUUUCCUAACUUGGGUAUGGUUUUUCUGUGGUGAAGUCAGAACAAAAAACGUCCAUUUUUUGCUCUGAUGUUUCAAAUUGGUGAAGAUGCUCUGUAUCAUAAUUUGAGCAAACCGAUGCCACAAUGGAAACAAGAGUAUAAUGAAUCAUGGAUUGGAGGAUGGAGCUAUCUUCAAACUUUCAUUGUGUGUAUUUGAUUAUGUUUUGUUGCUCACUUUUUAAGUAAAGGACUAGUAGUUUGUCAUAUCUUUUUGUAGACUUCAAAACUUCAACUAAGAAUGUUACGAAGUGGUGAUAGUUAUGGUUUGAAUUGAAUAUUGUGAAUGAUUUGAAUUAGUUAUUGUUCAAUGUUAUAAUUCUCAUAGUUUGUGAUA